rnacentral:snRNA from 1 species
AUCGCUUCUCGGCCUUUUGGCUAAGAUCAAGUGUAGAAAGUUUAUCACUCUUGAUUUUGCCUUUUAUUUGUUCAUUUUUAGCUAAAGCCCUCUCCAGGCACUCUUU